GAUGAACGCUGACAGCAUGCUUAACACAUCAGCAACUGCUUGGUGGCUGACGGGUGAGUAACGCGUAAAGAACUUGCCUCACAGCUAGGGACAACCUUUGGAAACGAAUGCUAAUUCCUAAUCCUGUGAGAGCGCGUUGAGUCCCAUUAGCUAUAUGGAGAGGUAACGGCUUACCAAGGCGAUGAUGGGUAGCCUGCCUGAGAGGGUGAUCGGCCACAAGGGGACUGAGACACGACCCUUACGCCUACGGGAGGCAGCAGUGGGAAAUAUUGGACAAUGGGCAAAAGUCUGAACGAGCAAUUCUGUGUGCACGAUGAAGUUUUCGGAAUGUAAAGUGCUUUCAGUUGGGAAGCGGUACCAACAGAAGAAGUGACGGCUAAAUACGUGCCAGCAGCCGCGGUAAUAC
rnacentral:rRNA from 1 species